GCCCGGUUAGCUCAAUCGGUAGAGCGUGAGACUCUUAAUCUCAAGGUUGCGGGUGAGUAGCCAAAAAUUCGGGCUUCUUAGAAUAUGAAUCAAGAAUACUAAUAUUGUGUACUUAGGUUCGACCCCCGCAUCGGGCU